AUGGAGCUAGGCCAGCUCGACUCGCUGCCAGGCAGAGAUCUCUCGCUGCGUGUGAGUCUAUAUGCAGACGAUGCCAUCAUUUUUGCGAACCCGGUGAAAGAGGAGAUCAACGCCCUGAUGGAUAUCAUCCACGAGUUCGGACAAGCUUCAGGUCUGAAAGUGAACCUGCUAAAAUCUUCAGUCACUGCUAUCAGGUGCGACCUCAUCGACUUGCAGCAAGUGCUUCAGAAUUUCGGCGGACAACAAACACAAUUCCCCCUGAGCUAUCUUGGGCUGCCUGUCACCAUUUCUAGAUUGCGCAUAGUGCACCUGCAGUUCAUCCUGGACAGAAUCAGAGCGCGCCUGGCAGGAUGGAAGGGACGACUCUUGUCCAUAGCAGGAAGGCGCGUUCUCGUCAGAAGUGUGCUUAGUGCACUCCCCACUUUUGCACUGGCUGUUCUGAAGGUGCCAAAGAAGCUCCUAGCCAAGGUGGACAAGAUCAGAAGACGCUUUCUAUGGGCUCAAGAGGAAGAGGCCUAG
rnacentral:rRNA from 1 species